AGCACUAUAUUUAAACCUAUGAUGGGAAUUUUCCCCGUUCUAGGUUACGCUGUAGUGCAAAAAGAAUUCUUGGCUCCUGGUUGUACAGCUGACUUAAUGCCAUUUUGCUGUUGCUUUAAGGAGUUAAGGGACAUUG
ensembl:snoRNA